AUGGCCCCUGUCUGCAACGGAACCGGUGCUGCAGCAUCCGUCAGUGUCUGCAGUCUCCUGGCCACCAACUGCCACCAGCCUCUGCAACUUCUUAGCCAGUUGAGCCAGCUUCUUUGGAAAUCAUGGUUCUGUGGUGUUCUUCCUAAAAUGCUCUUUUUCUUAGGAAGGAAGAGAGCAGUAGAAGGGUUAGGUGUAGCUAUGAGCACAAGUGUGGACAGGACCACAGGAGACAAGGCUAUAAACAUGGCAUGUGCAAUGCUGAAGAGACAGUCUGAUUUGAUAAGAUUUUGA
rnacentral:rRNA from 1 species